AUACGGAGGGGGUUAGCGUUGUUCGGAAUUACUGGGCGUAAAGCGUACGUAGGCGGAUCAGAAAGUAUGGGGUGAAAUCCCAGGGCUCAACCCUGGAACUGCCUCAUAAACUCCUGGUCUUGAGUUCGAGAGAGGUGAGUGGAAUUCCGAGUGUAGAGGUGAAAUUCGUAGAUAUUCGGAGGAACACCAGUGGCGAAGGCGGCUCACUGGCUCGAUACUGACGCUGAGGUACGAAAGUGUGGGGAGCAAACAGGAUUAGAAACCCGAGUAGUCC
rnacentral:rRNA from 1 species